rnacentral:rRNA from 1 species
CCUUUGUACACACCGCCCGUCGCUACUACCGAUUGAAUGGCUCAGUGAGGCUUUCGGACUGGCCCAGGGAGGUGGGCAACUACCACCCAGGGCCGGAAAGUCAUCCAAACUCGGUCAUUUAGAGG